rnacentral:tRNA from 1 species
CGGGCGGUAGCUCAGCCUGGUAGAGCUUCCGAGCUGGCCACCGGAGUGUCGCAGGUUCAAAUCCUGCCCGCCCGACCA